rnacentral:lncRNA from 1 species
UGUCCAUUCGAUUCCCCAAUAUCUAAUGUGAAUUCUCAUACUUUUUCCAAUCAAAUUGGCCACUUCUAGCCUUUUAUGUUGCCAACCCUAGCUCACGCUACAGACUGGUAUUGUUGAGUCGGUUCAAUUUUAUUGAUUCAUGUUUUGGCAGAUCUUUUGUGUCCAUUCGAAUCCUCAAUCUCUAAUGUGAAUUCUCAUACUUUUUCCAAUCAAAUUGGCCACUUCUCGCCUUUUAUGUUGCCAACCCUAGCUCACGCUACGGACUGGUAUUGUUGAGUCGGUUCAAUUGUUUUGAUUCAUGUUUUGACAGAUCUUUUGUGUCCAUUCGAAUCCUCAGUCUCUAAUGUGAAUUCUCAUACUUUUUCCAAUCAAAUUGGCCACUUCUCGCCUUUUAUGUUGCCAACCCUAGCUCACGUGACAGACUGGUACUGUUGAGUCAGUUCAAUUUUUUUGAUUCAUGUUUUGGCAGAUCUUUUGUGUCCAUUCGAUUCCCCAAUAUCUAAUGUGAAUUCUCAUACUUUUUCCAAUCAAAUUGGCCACUUCUAGCCUUUUAUGUUGCCAACCCUAGCUCACGCUACAGACUGGUAUUGUUGAGUCGGUUCAAUGUUUUUGGUUAAUGUUUUGGCAGAUCUUUUGUGUCCAUUCGAAUCCUCAAUCUCUAAUGUGAAUUCUCAUACUUUUUCCAAUCAAAUUGGCCACUGCUAGCCUUUUAUGUUGCCAACCCUAGCUCACGUGACAGACUUGUACUGUUGAGUCGGUUCAAUUUUUUUGAUUCAUGUUUUGGCAGGUCUUUUGUGUCGAUUCGAAUUCUCAAUCUCUAAUGUGAAUUCUCAUACUUUUUCCAAUCAAAUUGGCCACUUCUGGCCUUUUAUGUUGCCACCCUAGCUCACCCUACAGACUGGUAUUGUUGAGUCGGUUCAAUUUUUUUGAUUCAUGUUUUCGCAGAUCUUUUGUGUCCAUUCGAAUCCUCAAUCUCUAAUGUGAAUUCUCAUACUUUUUCCAAUCAAAUUGGCC